UUAAAGUAGUUUAAGAAAAACAUUGAUUUGUGGAGUCAAAGAUUAAAGUUUUACUUUAAUC
rnacentral:tRNA from 1 species